AUCAUAUAGUUAGGAGAGAAAGGCAAGAGCAGACAUACAAAUUACAUUUUCAUUUUUAUUUUGUACACCCUCAAUUAAUCAUUUUGUCACACAUACACACACACACACACACCUAGUCAGAUUGAACACAAAGCCAAUUAGUUAUUACGCAUAAAUUUUUUUUUUAAUUUUUUAUUUUUUCUAAAUAUUUAUUUAAAAUUCGAAUUUGAAAAAGGCACUAAAGUCACUUAGAAAGAGUUGUUCAAGUUUUAUCGAAUAUAUCUCGCGGUACAGUCGCAAAUCAAGUGUUUAUUGUCAGUAUAAAGAAAAGCACACGUUGCAGUUAACUGCAAGUUUUACAGUGGUGGCCAUCGCAAAGGGUAAAAAAAUAAGAACUUUUCUAGAACUAAGCUUUAGAAAUCGGUUUGAGCGCGCGUUGAACAGUGUGUCCAAGCCGAUUUUCGAAGCGAACAAAUUCCAAAUCAAACAAAAAAAAAACGUGUGUACGCAUCUGAGUUUUCAACGAUUAAAAAGCGAAAAGACAAAUGAUAAAUACUAAUUGUUAAAAAUACAGAUGUGUUGUUGUUUCGGGUAUUUGUAUGUGUUAUCCGUUCAGUGACACGAAAAAGAGUGGGACAAAAAUAAAGACAACAAAAUAAAAACACUAUAAAAUAAGAACAAAAGUUGGUGUAACGUUAUACAAGCCGAAAAAGAAAAAUAAAAAAAUGAAAAGAAAAACCAACAAUAUAUUAAAGGCAUGUAAAAUGUUGCAAAAAAAGAAGCUUAGAUUAUAAAGUCGAAAAGAAAAAAAAAACAUAAAAAUGGUAACGUUUUACGUGCCGGUCAAUAAACUUUAGAAAAUAUAGUUAGUUUAAAAACAAAAUAUGAUUGUAACGUUUUACGCGCCUUAACGA